CGGAUCUACCAGCUUCUCCCUCUCCGCCCUUUGUGUCUAGAGCAUGAGCCGCUCCAACUGAACCUCCAUGACCACGUCUAUCUCCUUCAGUGGUUACCUCUCAUUUUCCUUCUGCCUCUUCCUUGGUCAUUCUCUUUCACAGCUUCAAAUCUCACCUCUGUUUAAGUGUCUUGACAUGAUGGAUAGCCCUGAGUUACUGAUGAAAACAUGUAGCUCUCAAGAACUCUAAAUUCUUUUACCCGAUUGAGGCAAAAUUAAGCACACUUGAAGACAGCUUCUUAAAGAGGAGGCUCAUCUACUAGAGUGUAAUGUUUGAUACAGGAAAUCUAUUUCAUUCCCCCUAUCCCUUAAUCCUAGGGACAGAGGGCUUCUCCUUCUCAGGUUUCAAGGCUUGAGUAGAUGUUUGAUGCUAACACGGCAGAUGAAUGAAAUGAGCUCUUUUGGUAUUCAUCUUAGCAUCCCCUAGGCUGGGGUCCAUCCCACAGUCUUCUGGGGAAAGCCCCAAAGAGCAGAGUGAAGUGUCAGCAGGCGUCUCCAGGACCAUCAGAAGAUACCCACACAGUGGCCUCAGAUGCCUGGCUCCACACUGGUGUUUUGUGAGCUCAAUGCUCUGCUUCCUGACAUCACAAACAGGGGACAAUAAUCAGCAGCUUCUUUCUCCUCACCCAGAUGGCAGGUAGUAGCAGCUCCAGGAUGACAUCGUAAAGCGCCGUUUACUUCACCAACAUCAGACAACUGUCAGCUCCAAGGACUCACUGACGGCUUUUAGCAUGCCAGGACGCAGUCGACAGCUGCGCAGAGACUGGUGCAGGCGCGAACUUCAUCUGCUGCUAUCUUUAUCACCUAAGCGGUGGCGUCUCCCAUUGAGCCCUCCAAUGACAGCCUGUUCAGGCUGAGGCUGCCUGCUAAGGCAAAACAUCCAGCGGCAUCAAGCUCCAGAACUACUGAAGUGGCCCAGUCGGUGGUUGUGUUCCUGGCAGUGCCAACCAAUCUGAUUUUAUGAUUUCUCCCAAUAAAAAUCUUUUUUUAAACAAAA
rnacentral:lncRNA from 1 species